AACGAACGCUGGCGGCAGGCCUAACACAUGCAAGUCGAGCGGCAGCGGGACCUUCGGGUUGCCGGCGAGCGGCGGACGGGUGAGUAAUGCCUAGGAAUCUGCCUGUUAGUGGGGGAUAACGCGGGGAAACUCGCGCUAAUACCGCAUACGUCCUACGGGAGAAAGCGGGGGCUCUUCGGACCUCGCGCUAACAGAUGAGCCUAGGUCGGAUUAGCUAGUUGGUGGGGUAAUGGCUCACCAAGGCGACGAUCCGUAACUGGUCUGAGAGGAUGAUCAGUCACACUGGAACUGAGACACGGUCCAGACUCCUACGGGAGGCAGCAGUGGGGAAUAUUGGACAAUGGGCGAAAGCCUGAUCCAGCCAUGCCGCGUGUGUGAAGAAGGUCUUCGGAUUGUAAAGCACUUUAAGUCGGGAGGAAGGGCUGUAGGUUAAUACCCUGCGGUUUUGACGUUACCGACAGAAUAAGCACCGGCUAACUUCGUGCCAGCAGCCGCCGUAAUAC
rnacentral:rRNA from 1 species